AAGUUUUCAAAUUAUGUACAAAAUGUGUAAUUCUGGGCGGAAACAGUUAACGCCGUAAUGAGCUGGAGUGUGAGUGGGCUGGGUUUAGGCGCGCUCUGUGCCAAUGGCAGCACACACGCAUACACACGCACGCAAACACGCAGCUACAACACACCGCUGUACUCUGAUGGAGCCGCCAGUCUUCUGUGAGUGUGAGUCCGGCAGAGCCUUGUGAGGAAGCCACGCUGCGGGUCUGCACCGACGCUAACACGUUUCUUCUUCUACCGGCGGGUGAUGGCGAGCCUGGCUGCGGCUUGGAGGCUCGCAGCGUAGAGCCGCACCGGAGGAAGGCUGACUGCGGAACCCGAAGGAAUGCACCGCUGCCGCACUGACACGGUCCGCUGAAGUUAACGUUACAGGAGGUCAGUUCAGAUGCUGACGCCCGGGCUCUGCUGUGAAGUUUACGCGCUGCAUUCGCAAUCAGCUGCUACGUCCAAGGUGUCCACUUUGAAUGAAUGACGCCACCGCUUAACAGGUCCUUCCUGCAGAGAGGCUACCCUGCAUUAAAGGACUGACCCAACUAACACUGCAUUUGUGAUUUCCCUUACAACCUUGUACUGAGCGCAUUUGGAAUCGUUUUUUCACCCCCUUCUUCUUUCCGUGGAUGUGAGUGGAGCGCAUCAACAACUGCCUGUCUUGAAGGAACCAGGAGAUCCAGUUCAAAAAUGAAGAGACCCUGUCAGGUGGCCGCCUGUUUCCUGAUCUCAUUCUGCAUUCCCUCAUGAAGUCAUCUCGCAGUCCUACAACUGCUCCCAGGCUUGUUCAAUACAGCACAAGCAGAAACAUUGAA